UACGAAGGGGGCUAGCGUUGUUCGGAAUUACUGGGCGUAAAGGGCGCGUAGGCGGCCCGAUCAGUCAGAUGUGAAAGCCCCGGGCUCAACCUGGGAACUGCAUUUGAUACUGUCGGGCUUGAGUUCCGGAGAGGAUGGUGGAAUUCCCAGUGUAGAGGUGAAAUUCGUAGAUAUUGGGAAGAACACCGGUGGCGAAGGCGGCCAUCUGGACGGACACUGACGCUGAGGCGCGAAAGCGUGGGGGAGCAAACAGGAUUAAGAAA
rnacentral:rRNA from 1 species